CUUUUAUUUUUUUCAAUUAAAAAGUGGGCAUGGUAAACAUUUUCUAUUUUUUACUUAAACUAAUGAAGCUUUAGACUAUGAAAAUAUGCUUGCUUAUUUUUUUAAAAAAUCAAUAGUCUGUACUAAGAUAUAGUGAUCGGUUGUAUCUACUAAACAAUCAUCUUGGGAUUGAGUCACCAAUAGUGUACACAUCCUCCCCAUGAUUAUCUAAUGCCAGGAUAUAAGGCACUUGGGAGUCAAGACUAGUUCAUGAUAGUCCUGGACUGUUGCCUCAUAAUCAGAUAAGAAGCUAUGGCAACUCCUCUGAGAUCAAAUGGUGGGGUGCUUCAUUUGAGAUGAGAUAUUCAGUCUGGAAAGACAGGCUUACAAAGCAUUAAGUGAGAUCAUUAACAUAGGUGGGAUGUAGAAACUACCCACGUGAAAUAGCAGGCUUACUUGCUCAUUGAAGGGCUGAGAGAUUCAGAGGAGACCGGAACAAUCCUAGAUCUGGAAAGAAUGGAGGUGAAUGAUCACUGGCAGAAAGAAAGGACAGACUGGGAGAACAAGGUUAGUGUUUUAACCUCAUCAGUGAGUAGCUUCUCAGAAAAAUAGCAUUUCUGUUUCAACAUGGAAAAAAAACCCAGUGAAUUCUUUAGAAAAACCCAAUCAAGAGGAUAAACUUCUUAUGAUCAGAAAUUUCCUUCUGAGUAAUUUCUCUUCUGAACUCUAGUACUUUAAAUUUUGUUUGCAUCUGAGAUCAGGGGAAUUCACUGGUUAUGCUCACGAGAGACUGAAGGACCCUGUCAUUCUGUUUGUCUUAACCUUCCAGUUUAUCAAGAUUUCUAGGAGUGGAAUGUCUUACAGCUUUAACGGUAAAAUUACUGCCUCCAGAUCUUAUCAGCUUCAAGGCUGGAGCAGUGUGGAACUGAUUGACAGCUGAAUGGAAUAUAGAUGAAGUGAUGGAGACUACA